rnacentral:rRNA from 1 species
GGAAUAUUGCACAAUGGGGGAAACCCUGAUGCAGCAACGCCGCGUGAGUGAAGAAGUAUUUCGGUAUGUAAAGCUCUAUCAGCAGGGAAGAAGAAAGACGGUACCUGACUAAGAAGCCCCGGCUAACUACGUGCCAGCAGCCGCGGUAAUCCGUAGGGGGCGAGCGUUAUCCGGAUUUACGGGGUGUAAAGGGAGCGUAGACGGUUUUUCAAGUCUGAAGUGAAAGCCCGCGGCUCAACUGCGGAACGGCUUUGGAAACUGAGGGACUAGAGUGCUGGAGGGGCAGGCGGAAUUCCUGGUGUAGCGGUGAAAUGCGUAGAUAUCAGGAGGAACACCGGUGGCGAAGGCGGCCUGCUGGACAGUAACUGACGUUGAGGCUCGAAAGCGUGGGGAGCAAAC